CCUACGGGCGGCAGCAGUGAGGAAUAUUGGUCAAUGGACGCAAGUCUGAACCAGCCAUGCCGCGUGCAGGAAGACGGCUCUAUGAGUUGUAAACUGCUUUUGUGCGAGAGUAAACGCUCUUACGUGUAAGAGCCUGAAAGUAUCGUACGAAUAAGGAUCGGCUAACUCCGUGCCAGCAGCCGCGGUAAUACGGAGGAUCCAAGCGUUAUCCGGAUUUAUUGGGUUUAAAGGGUGCGUAGGCGGUUUGAUAAGUUAGAGGUGAAAUACCGGUGCUUAACACCGGAACUGCCUCUAAUACUGUUGGGCUAGAGAGUAGUUGCGGUAGGCGGAAUGUAUGGUGUAGCGGUGAAAUGCUUAGAGAUCAUACAGAACACCGAUUGCGAAGGCAGCUUACCAAACUAUAUCUGACGUUGAGGCACGAAAG
rnacentral:rRNA from 1 species